rnacentral:lncRNA from 1 species
CCCGGCCUGGUCACUGGGAGAAGCCAGUGACCCGGCUAGCUGCAAGCGUGCGUGAAAUGUUAACGCACGCUUCAUACAGAACGAUGUAAUUAUAAUUCACAUCGACAGUACCAAAUUAAUUAUAUUGCAAAGGAAGAGCAGCAGGGACUUUCCUGGUUACCGUUGGAGACGAAGACGAAGUGAGAGCGAUCGUUUCUGGCUGAUCGGAUGACACUUCUAUGAUGAAUGCAAAAGCCUUCUCCUCUGUUACUGCUCGUCUUGGUCUCUUCGUCCUUCUGAACAAUGCUGAGAGCUUCACUUGAGAUGCUCUGUCUCCUGUUCUUCGUCUUGUCUCUGUGUUAUUCGUUCUUCUCUUUUUGUUCUGUCUGUGUUUGCUUGUUCCUCUGGUUUCCUCUCUGUUUUCUUUUGUGUUUUGCUUCCCUGUUUCUGUGGUUCGUCUAUCUAUUUCUCUCUGUUCGUUUUUUUCUUGUUCGUGUCUUUUUCCUCUGGCUGUUAAUCAACAGGAUCGUGGGCAGGAGACGUGGUCUGGGUUUGGUGCCAUUUCUUCCUGCAAAUGAAGCCGUGAACAGUCCUGCUCUUGCAGGACUGUUAAUCGAUCUGGAAACGAGAUCGUGGGCAGGAGACGUGGUCCGGUUUUGGUGCCAUUUCUUCCUGUUGCAUCGGUCUCCUGAGGAAGGUGAUGAACAGUAGAAACGGCGGUGGUUUUAUUGAAAUGGCUAUCUUCAAUUUACCCCCUUAACUUCUGAUAUUUAACAAUUGGGUCCCUUAUUUCAUUAAUUAAACAAUUUCAAGUUCAAUUGAGUCCCCAAACUUCCAAUUCUUCCAAUUUUUGACCAAAUUAACUCCAAAUUUAUAAUUCAAUCCUUAGUAGUCCCCAAACUUUAAACUUUCAAUUUGUGUUUUCUUAACACAAUCUUCAAUUCAUUCAUUUUUUAUUUCUUUUUGUUUUUUGAAAAAUUUAAAAAUUAAAUUAUGAGAAUGGUAGUUGGGGUCGACUAGCAGGUGACAAAGAAGCCCACAACAGACGUGGAGUUGGCAACCUAAGGAAAGAAAUUGAUGGGUUUGCAAUGCAAAUUGAACAGUCAGAAAGAAGGAUUAACUGACCCUAAUGUUCCUCAGGAUUUUAUCAUGUCCCAAGUUUAAGCCAGAGCUCAGAACCUAUCAUCAGAAAAAUAAAAAAUUACAAACUCACAUUUAAGCUGAAAACUCAAAAAAAAAAAAAAAUUAUUGACAAGAACCACUGUGCACCUCAUUUUACCCUUGAUUGGGACUCGAAAAAAAAAAAACUCAGAACCUAUCAUCAGAAUUCUUUUAAGAUAAGAGUACUGAUAAAAGAAGCACACCAGACUGUGAGUGCAAGGAGAAAAUUCAUUACAACGCAUCAUCAAGGUGGUUCAAACUCAC